UUCUCCCUUCUGAUGAUCAUGAUGUCAUUAAUUUGAUGUUGUGGGGAGUCAGGACUGUUACUUUGAAAAAAUUAGAGUGUUUAAAGCAAGCACGCGCUUGAAUACAUUAGCAUGGAAUAAUGAAAUAGGACGCUCGAUUCUAUUUUGUUGGUUUCUAGGAUCAACGUAAUGAUUAAUAGGGAUAGUUGGGGGCAUUAGUAUUCAAUUGUCAGAGGUGAAAUUCUUGGAUUUAUUGAAGACUAACUACUGCGAAAGCAUUUGCCAAGGAUGUUUUCAUUAAUCAAGAACGAAAGUUAGGGGAUCGAAGACGAUCAGAUACCGUCGUAGUCUUAACCAUAAAACUAUGCCGACAGGGAUCGGAAUGAUGUAUAUUUUUUUUA
rnacentral:rRNA from 1 species